rnacentral:rRNA from 1 species
UACGAAGGGGGGCUAGCGUUGCUCGGAAUCACUGGGCGUAAAGCGUACGUAGGCGGCUUUUUAAGUCAGGGGUGAAAUCCUGGAGCUCAACUCCAGAACUGCCUUUGAUACUGAGAAGCUUGAGUCCGGGAGAGGUGAGUGGAACUGCGAGUGUAGAGGUGAAAUUCGUAGAUAUUCGCAAGAACACCAGUGGCGAAGGCGGCUCACUGGCCCGGUACUGACGCUGAGGUGCGAAAGCGUGGGGAGCAAACAGG